GGGGCCCCCAGCCCCCGGCCCCACCUGAUUUAUGAACCGAGGCUGUCUCCAUGAGCGUCUGGGUUUCUCCUUUUGUAUUCCAUCUGGCGGCUUUUCCAACUAGAUGACUGGCCUGGCUGGAAACAUUAGAAGGGACCGAGGCAGCGAGAUGUCUAAAAUAGGAAGACGCCAGGGACGACUGGCCUGGCUGCCCGCAAUGCUGGCUGCGGGGAUCUGGUCCGGCUGUGCAGACAGAAAACCUAAGAGACAUUUCCUGCAGUGUGGGGGAUGCAGAAAUUGACUCAUCCAUCCAUUCAGUUAGUCACUAAAUUUUUUUGGAGCAUCUACUCGGCGCCAGACACCACGCCAGGUGCUGGAUUUGCCGCAGGAAGCAAGGCUCGGCAUCUCACCUCAUGGAGCU